ensembl:lncRNA
UCUAAAUAUGAUAUUUAAUAAAUGAAAAGCGAAUUAAAAAUAACAGGGUGCAAUGCAUUAGCCCAUAUCAACAUUUUGAUACCUGCACACAUUUUAUUGGCUAAAGAGCUCGCUCGUGCUAGCAACGAACAUGAACGGUUACGCGCACUAAAAAAAAAAAACAAACCACACUUUCACACUGAAUCAUUCUGAGAAAUGGGUUAUUAUAACUGAUGGACACAGCAGAAGAGGGCCUUGACGAGCUGAAGCAGCCGUGGAUCCGCUAAAACUGAUCGCUGUAAACAAAGGGGCCGAGCACGAUAACGAGCUUUUAACAAUCAUGAGCAACAGCGACCUGCUUUUCAUAAAGCGCGCUUAAUUUCUCAUUCUCCCCGCCAACUGAUAAUAAAACUCUCGCGCGCGGAGAUUUCCAUUCGAUGUAACGAAAUAUGGGUUAGCAAUCAUUGGCCGGAGCCGCACACUAACCUGCGAUGAAGCCCUGGUUGGUCCUCGCCUCGGCUCGGCCGUUUGGUUGGACAGAAAAUGGCUGCGGGAGAGCCAGUCCCUGCGCGGGGCUGAACGGUGCUGGAGGAGGAGGCCCCUCGGACACUAGGUGGCGCUGGAGCCCUUCAUGUUGUCGAAAUAGCGCCUUCUAUUGGUAGUGGUUGGCACCAUAGACAUAUAAAUAGCUAGACGCCUCAUUGGCCGCUCGACCGCACGUCAGCGUCGCCGCCAUAUUGGAGCGGGCAACUCUCCAUACUCUCAUAUCGGGACAGAGGAAAACAUACCUGACUCGUCGGGAGCUUGGGCAUCUACAAACCAUCGCAUAAUAAUAAAAACAGAUCUCGGGGUAUUAUCUUUCACAGAGGUGGAUGUUGCACACUGGUGGUGGACGAGGAGAUUCCCCCUUCUAUGUAAAGCGCUAUAUAAAUUGACAUAAGAAGAAAACACAACGUCAGAAAGCCAGUGCCAAAAAGAUCCCCCAGAGCCGUCAGAUACGUGAUGCAGAAGCUAUCAGGAUCUCUGCUGCACUUCCACAAGCAGUAACCACCACAUCAGCGAUGCCCAGCAGAAGAA